UAGGUCCAUUAAAGACAUUUUGAGAAUACAAACUAUAGAAUCUUACACCAUAAAACUGUGGAAGAAAGGGACUAUAACAACAAGGUGCUGGAUUUGGUUGUAGACAUAGAAUUUGUUCUCCCAUGUGCAAAAUAUAGCAGGAAAUAGGAAUCCUGCAAACCUUAAGGUUACCUUAAGACCAAAGGUAUCAGCCUGGUUAUGUAUAACCAUUUGUAUAUAUUUUGAUUAUACAGCAUCUCAUUACUGUAGACUGGAGUGAAAAUUGAAGUUAGUCGUAAUCCUCUAUUCCUGUCUCAAAUGCUACACAAAAGAAAGCCUUGCUCAUGUAAAAAGCAUUACCCUCAUAUCUGUAGGUAUGAAAAAACUGAUGUUAUAUUCGACAGCAAAACUGGGUAUUUAAUUGCUUCUCUGGUCCAAAAAUAUCACACGUAUCUGGACUCAGAUGGUAUUUGAGGUCAUUCAACACCUCAAAACUGGGCCUUUUGUUACUACCUUUAAUGAAAGGUUAGGAACGUUAUUUGACUCGUGUUCAUAGGGAUAAAGGCCAUUGGUACAAGAGGAAAAAUUGCUGCAUGUCUGAAAAACAGGACAAUAGGCGAUACUGUGGCUGGUUUUAAUCUUCUCUUUUCUUCUUGCUGUUUAAAGAGGAUCUCUUAAUUUAAAACUGCUGUAAGGAUACUUACCAUGCUGGCCAUGUUCAAGGGCUGUGGGACAUGCAUUGCAGAUUCUGAACUCUCUUUCUUCUGCUGAAAAUGCAGACUCAGAGCUGCAGUGUAAACAUCUUGGAUGAGUUGUAACAGCAGUAUCAAUCAAUGAGCAGAAGCUUAAUACAUCUUGCUGGAACAAAGCCUGUACAUUUGCUUAUAACAGACCAGGUGAAAAUCGGUGGGCGCGGGAUUUUCUCCGAGGCCAGGAUUUCAGUUGUUGGUUUCCCCUCUGUGCCCUGGAGAAAGUAUGUGGUGUUUUGAGACAAGGUACGAAAAAGACAUCAAGCAGAUCCCUGACAUUAAAGCCACUGUUGCUGAAUUUUAGAUCUCUGCUGCAUGGAUGCUUGAAGCAUUAUACCUUUUCUUCUGUGGUCCUGUUCAAGGCUGUUAUGUUUUUGUUGGUUUUUUUUAACGUGAGCAAACCUCCAUGUUCUCUAAAACCAGAUGCCCAGCAUGAAAAUUUUUACCUCAUUUGGCAAAACACUAAAGCAAAGGCAAAUGUUUUUAGACAAUCCUAAUAACAGGCUGUGCUACCAGCCCCACUUGUGAAAAUCCAGCAUUGCGACUGUACGUAGGUACCAUGAAGUGCCAGCUGCUGGGGCUGUUUCUCCGCAGCUGCUCUUGAGAGAGCAAAGACCUUGAACACCAGAAGUGGUUCCUGGGCACUCCGCUGAAAGGGCAAAUUACAAAGGGGGAUCCAUACUGGAGAGAAUCCAAAAAUGCAGUUAAGACCAUAGCUGGCAUGGCAGUCCGUGCUGGUACAGAUGCAACAUGACACACCGCAUAUUGCUAAACAGGAGCGGCACUUGUGGUUGCAGAGAGCUGGUGCUCAUCAGGAAAGAAAAGAUGCCUGCCUUCCCUUGUGCUCGGAAAGGUUCCCCACACAGGGCCUGGUCCCAGGAUUGUGCUCAUACUGGGAGACAGCUAUUAAAUGAGAACAAAAUAAAAUGUUAGCAGAAGUCGUCUGUGGUAAACCAACAUGCACCAUUCAGAGAAUCGGAGGUCUGAGCAUAUUGCUAAUUGCCAUGAAUGUGAUUGUGCACAGCAGUUACCUAGAGAUGGUGUAGCUAAAACCUCUUUGGGCUUGGGGCGGGGGGGGAGUGGGCUGUAACUAACGCAAUGCAGUUCUCACAAUAUGAAUGCAUACCAGUUAUGGGAAUAACGGUUAUCAGGAUUACCGAUGAAAUAAAGUCAUUUCUGUCAUGAAAUACAACAGCAAGUAGAAGGUGGGAAGGGAGCAAGAGUACAGAAUUGGAUUAAAACUGCAAAAGGGACUGGUAGAAGCAGGGUGGUAGUUAUACAAACUGGAAUUUGAGCAGGACUUCAUGGUUAAACUACAAAUGCUUAGGAAAAAAACCCCAGGAAUACCAACAAAUGAUCAUGCAAGCAGGAAGAUGCUGCCUCUUGCACUGAAUUGACUUUUCCACCAGGCAGACAGAUGGAAAGAAGCAGUCCAGCUGUGAGUCCGCCAAGUGCUUUUGCAUGGCGGGAGUGCAGGAAGCAGCUCUGCGCACACGCUGCGUCACUGCAGGCGGAGUGGAGCGACGUCAAAGCACUGCAAGCAUUACAGACACCAAGUAGUGUUUGUAUUUUCAAAUAUCUCUGCAUGAGAGGUGUUUGCUCUGCUGGGCUUUUCCCCUGUAGUUCUCUGCGUUGGUGUGAAUUACUAUGUGAAGUGCGAGAGCUGAAGCCCACCUAGGCGUGUACAGGGGCCAGUCAAUAACGGGAUGCACCAAAUUGUACCCCACUCGCUGGUAACGCUUGGAAGGUUUUUGAAGCAAAAAGAAUUACAUCAACUUUAGAAAAAUUUAGUAGAAAAAAAUCCAAACAACAUGCUCUUGAUAUUCAGAGAUUUCACAAGGUUGUUAGCUCUAAGGUGGCAACAACCUAUCUGGCUGCACCUAGGAAAUCCUGCUGAUGCCAUUGAUUUUACACAGGUGUAACUUGGGGGGGGUGAUGUAGUUCACACUGAAAAAGGCUGUUUAACUACAAGUAAGAUCAGCUUAAGGAGCGUGUCUGCUUGCAUCCCCUCUCUUAGAGCCCCCAGCCCAGCCAGACCUUUGGUACAAUUGCCCUGAUAUCAAGAUGGGUAUGUCUCUUCUUGGCAGAGAGGGGUUUCCCCUAAGACCACCCAGGAUAUGCUCCAGGGCCUUCAAGCACAGCCUUUAGCCCUGAUUAAAUACAACCUCAGCUGUCUUCCAUAGUGCUUGAACCCAACCAAAGUUGUGCUCAGGUUUGCGCUGUAGCACAGCCCAUCUCCUUUAUUACAGGCUCCUGGCUACACCUGCCUGCAGCAGUGCUGAAGCAUAGAGUCAUGUCUGCCUGGCUUACUCUCCUUGUGCCUUGCUGGAGUCUCACUGAGGCAACAUCAAGGAAGCAAAUCUGGGCUCCUGCUGGAAAGCCUCCAGCACUGUGGGCUUUGCAGAACUGGGAGAGCUGCGAGCAGCUGAGCUGCAGACAUCUUUGUUGCUGCAAUGCAGAUGCGAGAAGUGGAAUCAGUGGGAAAAAGUAAAACUUAGCCCAGUCCUAAGAGCAGCACACCGAACUUGAAUGACAGGAGUAUUAACAAAACAUUUUAAAGCUAUAUUGGCAUGGCUCUGAUCCAUGUGACUCAAAAUCAUCCAUGAAGAUAUCCAGGUAUCAACUUCCAUUACAAAAACUGUGGGAGAUGGGAGCCUUUGAAGAUGUCUACAAGGAUCUGGGAUUCAGUGACUUGGAUGCCCAGAUCUCACCAAAAGAAUCAGUGCCAGCACUGCUUAACAGAGCAAGACAAAGACAUCAAAAAACCUAGGCCAAAAUACCCACUGAUUUUCAAAUAGGUCUGUGUUCCUAAGUCACUUUGCCAUUUUUAAUUGUUUUACAAUUAACAGUAAUGAUUACCAGUCAGGCUAAGCAUUUGAUGGUAUAAAGGCUUUUGUCUGGUUGUGGAAUACAGUUCAUGCCUGGUCUCCAACACAAAUCAAAACCAUAUGAGUAACCAGGUUAAGAGACAACCAAGCUGUAACUAAGUUCCCUGAUGUGGCUUAUGUUUGUAUUCCAGCCAGGGCCUGAGGCUCUUACUCGAGAUUUUUCCCUGUCCAGCUUGCAUAUGCAAAUGUGAACAAUAAUAUUUCCAUCCUCGAGGAGCCCAAGUGAGAUUUUAUAAUGUAAACAAAGGCAUUAGUGUGUUAAAAAGGUCUCUCAAUCAGCUGAAAGUGUGCAGCUGUUUACAUAUUAGUAUAUGGGUUUAGUUAACACUUGGAAGAGAGCAAGAAACACUUGAUGCACUUAGAACCAACACAAACAAAAGUGCCUCUGCAUGUAAACAUCUAAACUGAAAAUAAAAUAAUUCCUGAUAAGGUAAAUUGGCAUUUACCUUUUGUGAAAAAUGGCAGUUUAAUCCUUCCUUUACACAGCAAGACAGGUCUUUUGACCAUCUCGUUUUCGGUGAUGAAAACAUCUCACUUUGUGUGGAACUGUUCAGACUAAAACACAGUGUGCAGCGCUGCAGGGUCUGGGAGGUUUCAACCUAAUCUCAGUCUUUACAGUCCUUCCUGAGUACAUUGUUCCCAUGAGGACACAUACACGCUCUUCUCUCUGGAUUUAACCUGAAUUUGGUACUGCCUCACAUCUGUUAAAAAGCUACCCUGCAAGCUUGACAAAUGGUGUUGGAGCAGUGACUAUUGGAAAAUCAGAUGGGGAAUCCCAUAGGUCCUAUUUUUAUUUAGGCUUGGCUUGCUGGCUCAUUUCAGUGACCUCCGCUGAGGUUAGGCAUGUGAUGUGCAUGGUUACAAUAUAAAACCUUUUUUUUUUUCCCCUCUAAACUUUCAACAUGUCCAAAACUUUGGUUAUAUUUUCUUUUUCUCUUCCUUUCUUUGCUGUUUACCAUGGGUAAAAUAAAAUUAUUGAUGGCCCAGGA